rnacentral:rRNA from 1 species
UAGCAUGGGCAGGCGUUGUAACUGGCCUUCCGAGGCAUGUGCACGCCCUGCUCAUCCACUCUACACCUGUGCACUUACUGUGGGUAUCAGAUCGUGAAGCGUGCUCUUUUACCGGAGCUUGUGAAGCGUGUCUGUGCCUGCGUUUAUCACAAACACUAUAAAGUAUCAGAAUGUGUAUUACGAUGUAACGCAUCUAUAUACAACUUUCAGCAACGGAUCUCUUGGCUCUCGCAUCGAUGAAGAACGCAGCGAAAUGCGAUAAGUAAUGUGAAUUGCAGAAUUCAGUGAAUCAUCGAAUCUUUGAACGCACCUUGCGCUCCUUGGUAUUCCGAGGAGCAUGCCUGUUUGAGUGUCAUGAAAUCUUCAACCUAUAAGCUUUUGUGGUUUGUAGGCUUGGACUUGGAGGCUUGUCGGCCUUGAUCGGUCGGCUCCUCUUAAAUGCAUUAGCUUGAUUCCUUGCGGAUCGGCUCUCGGUGUGAUAAUAUCUACGCCGCGACCGUGAAGCGUUUGGCGAGCUUCUAACCGUCUCACUUGAGAGACAACUUUAUGACCUCUGACCUCAAAUCAGGUAGGACUACCCGCUGAACUUAAGCAUAUCAAUAAGCGGAGGAA